rnacentral:lncRNA from 1 species
GAAAUAUUCUAUUUCCAUGCAAUUACCUUUCCAAAGUCACAAGUAUAAAUACAUAUAUUGCAUGGCUGUUAUACUUAUAACCUGUCACAUUAAGAAGCGUAUACACAUAGCUUCUCAAAGUAUCAACAAUACAAAAAGCACUAAAAAGAGAUUAUAUGGGACGUUGGAUGAAAUCCGAGGUACGUAAGUGCGAUCGCUUCGGAGAAAUUCUAUCUGCUUCUUUUUCGUUAGUUUAGCCACGUUAAACUUAUUUUUUAAGAAUAGAUUUUGCAAAAAGUGAUUUUUAAAUUACUAGCCAUUAGUCAUAGACGAUAUGUUGAAAAAAUUGAAAUUGACUCAAAAAAUGUUGUGAUUUUUUAAUAGAAUUUUAGAUUAAAAUUACAUGUCAUUAUGUGCUUUUGCUGAUAAAUUCAAAUAAUAAUGAACUUUAUUGCAGGUUUCAUGUUAAAUAUAUAACUUAUACUCCAAAGAAAAAAAUAGCAAAAUAUAUGUUAUUUUUCUACAAAAUUUUAAUUGAUUACAUAAAUUAUUUUGUCUUAAUUAAUUUUUCAAAAAAUUAGUAAUGAUUUCCAAAUUGAAACUUUUAAUUAAUUUCGUAUGUGACAGGUUUACCCUCUUGUGGCUGCCAUGACUUUCGUCACUGGGAUGUGCCUAUUUCAGCGGGGUAUUAUUAUAAAUGACCU